rnacentral:lncRNA from 1 species
UUAUUUAUAAUGUUCAAGGGUCAAGUGAAUCAAAAAAAGAGUCAAAACAAUGAGUUAAAGCUCAAUGUAAAUUUAGCCUAUGCUUAGCUCGUGUUUCUAGUUCAUCGUUGAGGAUGUUGUGUUGUUUUGAGCUCUAAAUUAUUGUGUUUAAUUCUAUAGGAUACUUUUUACAUGUAUCAUCAUGUUAUAUUAAGGAUAUUAAAUC